CAGCCGCCGCGGGAAUACAGAGGAUGCAAGCGUUAUCCGGAAUGAUUGGGCGUAAAGCGUCUGUAGGUGGCUUUUCAAGUCCGCUGUCAAAUCCCAGGGCUCAACCCUGGACAGGCGGUGGAAACUACCGAGCUGGAGUACGGUAGGGGCAGAGGGAAUUUCCAGUGGAGUGGCGAAAUGCGUUGAGAUCGGAAAGAACACCAACGGCGAAAGCACUCUGCUGGGCCGACACUGACACUGAGAGACGAAAGCUAGGGGAGCAAAUGGGAUUAGAUACCCCUGUAGUCCCUGUCUCUUAUAC
rnacentral:rRNA from 1 species